rnacentral:misc_RNA from 1 species
GUGAAUCAUCAAAUCUUUGAACGCAAAUUGCGCCUUCUUUCGGAAGGCAUGUCUGUUUGAGGGCACCAUUUAACAAAUAAUGUGCGCGUCGUUUUUACGAGCGACGUGCGCACGUUGAUGAGCUUUUCCGAAAAAACCAGGUUUUUUUGGUGGCGCAUAAUGAACAGCGUGGGCUUUUUCUUCGAUUCUCGUGUAGUAAAUCUUCAACGCUUGGGUUGAGAAAAAGUGCGUGCCGCGCAAUGGGUGUGGCGAAUUUUACCCCUGCCCCAAUGCCACUCUUUCCCUGCGAAAGAACAAUCUU